rnacentral:rRNA from 1 species
CGUUCCCGGGCCUUGUACACACCGCCCGUCACACCACGAGAGUUUGUAACACCCGAAGUCGGUGGGGUAACCGCAAGGAGCCAGCCGCCUAAGGUGGGACGGAUGAUUGGGGUG